UCAUUGGGUAUAUAAAACCUAAAGGCAUAAUUAACUUAACUGUUAUAUAUGGGAUCAUAUAUAUAUAUAUUUAUUUAUAUAUAUAUUCCAUCCCGGGACGUUCUAUAUAGUUAUGCAUUUUAAUAUAUUUUAUAUAUUAUAUAUGCCUCUAACUAGAGCGUACCUUGAGCAUAUAUGUUGUGACCCGAAAGAUGGUGAACUAUACCUGAUCAGGUUGAAGUCAGGGGAAACCCUGAUGGAAGACCGAAACAGUUCUGACGUGCAAAUCGAUUGUCAGAAUUGGGUAUAGGGGCGAAAGACCAAUCGAACCAUCUAGUAGCUGGUUCCCUCCGAAGUUUCCCUCAGGAUAGCUGGUGCAUUUAAAUAUUAUAUAAAAUAAUCUUAUCUGGUAAAGCGAAUGAUUAGAGGCCUUAGGGCCGAAACGACCUUAACCUAUUCUCAAACUUUAAAUGGGUAAGAACCUCACCUUUCUUGAUAUGAAGGUUGAGGUUAUGAUAUAUUGUGCCCAGUGGGCCACUUUUGGUAAGCAGAACUGGCGCUGUGGGAUGAACCAAACGUGAUGUUAAGGCGCCUAAAUUAACAACUCAUACUGAUACCAUGAAAGGCGUUGCUUGCUUAAAACAGCAGGACGGUGGACAUGGAAGUCGUAAUCCGCUAAGGAGUGUGUAACAACUCACCUGCCGAAGCAACUAGCCCUUAAAAUGGAUGGCGCUCAAGUUGUAUGCCUAUACAUCACCGCUAAAAUAUAUGAUUUAUUUAUUUUAUUUUAUAUAAAUUUUGAAAUUUUAGUGAGUAGGAGGGUACAAUGGUGUGCGUAGAAGUAUUUGGCGUAAGCCUGUAUGGAGCCGCCAUUGGUACAGAUCUUGGUGGUAGUAGCAAAUAAUCGAAUGAGACCUUGGAGGACUGAAGUGGAGAAGGGUUUCGUGUGAACAGUGGUUGAUCACGAGUUAGUCGGUCCUAAGUUCAAGGCGAAAGCCGAAAAUUUUAAGUUAUAUUAAUUUAUAUACUUAUUAUUUUUAUGAACGAAAGGGAAUACGGUUCCAAUUCCGUAACCUGUUGAGUAUACGUUUGUUAUUAAAAAUGGGCUUAUAUGCUCAUCCUGGCAACAGAAACAACCAUAAAGAAGCCGUCGAGAAAUAUCGAAAGAGUUUUCUUUUCUGUUUCAUAGUCGUACUACCAUGGAAGUCUUUCGAAGAGAGAUAUGGUAGAUGGGCUAGAAGAGCAUGGCAUUUACUGCUGUGUCGAUAUUUUCUCCUCGGACCUUGAAAAUUUAUGGUGGGGUCACGCAAACUUCUUAACAGGCCGUACCGAUAUCCGCAGCUGGUCUCCAAGGUGAAGAGUCUCUAGUCGAUAGAAUAAUGUAGGUAAGGGAAGUCACC
rnacentral:rRNA from 1 species